rnacentral:rRNA from 1 species
GGUGGAUUAGUGGCGAACGGGUGAGUAACACGUGAGUAACCUGCCCCCGACUCUGGGAUAAGCCCGGGAAACUGGGUCUAAUACCGGAUAUGACUUCCUACUGCAUGGUGGGUUGUUGAAAGAUUUAUCGGUGGGGGAUGGACUCGCGGCCUAUCAGCUUGUUGGUGAGGUAAUGGCUCACCAAGGCGACGACGGGUAGCCGGCCUGAGAGGGUGACCGGCCACACUGGGACUGAGACACGGCCCAGACUCCUACGGGAGGCAGCAGUGGGGAAUAUUGCACAAUGGGCGCAAGCCUGAUGCAGCGACGCCGCGUGAGGGAUGACGGCCUUCGGGUUGUAAACCUCUUUCAGUAGGGAAGAAGCGAAAGUGACGGUACCUGCAGAAGAAGCGCCGGCUAACUACGUGCCAGCAGCCGCGGUAAUACGUAGGGCGCAAGCGUUAUCCGGAUUUAUUGGGCGUAAAGAGCUCGUAGGCGGUUUGUCGCGUCUGCCGUGAAAGUCCGAGGCUCAACCUCGGAUCUGCGGUGGGUACGGGCAGACUAGAGUGAUGUAGGGGAGACUGGAAUUCCUGGUGUAGCGGUGAAAUGCGCAGAUAUCAGGAGGAACACCGAUGGCGAAGGCAGGUCUCUGGGCAUUUACUGACGCUGAGGAGCGAAAGCAUGGGGAGCGAACAGGAUUAGAUACCCUGGUAGUCCAUGCCGUAAACGUUGGGCACUAGGUGUGGGGGACAUUCCAC